rnacentral:sRNA from 1 species
GCCAGGUGUGGUGGCAGACACCUGUAAUCCCAGCUACUCAGGAGGCUGAGGCAGGAGAAUCGCUUGAACCCGGGAAGUGGAGGUUGCAGUGAGCCGAGAUCGUGCCACUGCACUCCAGCCUGGGUAACAGAGUGAGACUCUGCCUCAA